rnacentral:rRNA from 1 species
CCUACGGGAGGCAGCAGUGGGGAAUAUUGGACAAUGGGCGAAAGCCUGAUCCAGCAAUGCCGCGUGAGUGAUGAAGGCCUUCGGGUCGUAAAGCUCUUUUACCAGGGAUGAUAAUGACAGUACCUGGAGAAUAAGCUCCGGCUAACUCCGUGCCAGCAGCCGCGGUAAUACGGAGGGAGCUAGCGUUGUUCGGAAUUACUGGGCGUAAAGAGUACGUAGGCGGUUAUUCAAGUCAGAGGUGAAAGCCCGGGGCUCAACCCCGGGAACUGCCUUUGAAACUAGAUAACUAGAGUCUUGGAGAGGUUAGUGGAAUUCCGAGUGUAGAGGUGAAAUUCGUAGAUAUUCGGAAGAACACCAGUGGCGAAGGCGACUAACUGGACAAGUACUGACGCUGAGGUACGAAAGCGUGGGGAGCAAACAGGAUUAGAUACCCUGGUAGUCCACGCCGUAAACGAUGAUAACUAGUUGUUCGGUCACUUGGUGACUGAGUGACGCGAGACUACGACAUUAAGUUAUCCGUCCGUCGGGUAGGUACGGUCGCGAGAAUUAAACUAACAAGAAGUUAGUACGGACGUGAGACGUGCCGACGACGACGACGAGGGAGUAGG